UAAUCCUGGCACUGUUGUUACUCUUUUGCGGUGAAUCCCCCUGAGCGGAGGGGCGUUACAGUUUCAAUGCAAAGUGUCGUAUGCGUAUUGCGCGCGAGCCAGGUGGCUGUACUGGCUCACCGGGAGGCACCCGGCACCGCAAAUCCUCUUCAGCAACGUUAAUUGCGAAAAAUAUUGCGAUAAAAAAAGGAGCCGGUUGGGCUCCCUUUUUUACUAAC
rnacentral:sRNA from 1 species